rnacentral:piRNA from 1 species
AAGGAGAGGUACUAAGACAGUUCUGGA